rnacentral:rRNA from 1 species
CACGUAGGGUGCGAGCGUUUGUCCGGAAUCAUUGGGCGUAAAGAGCGCGUAGGCGGCCCUGUAAGUCCGCUGUGAAAGUCAAGGGCUCAACCCUUGAAUGCCGGUGGAUACUGCAGGGCUAGAGUCCGGAAGAGGCGAGUGGAAUUCCUGGUGUAGCGGUGAAAUGCGCAGAUAUCAGGAGGAACACCGAUGGCGAAGGCAGCUCGCUGGGACGUUACUGACGCUGAGACGCGAAAGCGUGGGGAGCAAACAGG